UUGAUCUCGGCUCAGGUAGGGAUACCCGCUGAACUUAAGCAUAUCAAUAAUGCG
rnacentral:rRNA from 1 species